rnacentral:rRNA from 1 species
AGCGCAGGCGGUUUGAUAAGUCUGAAGUAAAAGGCUGUGGCUUAACCAUAGUAUGCUUUGGAAACUGUCAAACUUGAGUGCAGAAGGGGAGAGUGGAAUUCCAUGUGUAGCGGUGAAAUGCGUAGAUAUAUGGAGGAACACCGGUGGCGAAAGCGGCUCUCUGGUCUGUAACUGACGCUGAGGCUCGAAAGGCGUGGGGGCGAAACA